GGCGGCGUGGCAAACUGGUUAGCGCGCCUGCCUUGAACCCAAGGGUUAUGGGUUCAAGGCUCGUCGCUGCUA
rnacentral:tRNA from 1 species